rnacentral:lncRNA from 1 species
AUGUUUUUUUCAGGGAACUUUAGUUCACAGUGUUUACAAAGUCUGCAGUGGUGUACAGUAACAUCUCAGGCCUUCAGAUUCACUCAGCACUCACUCACCGACUCACCCAGAGCAACUUCCAGUCCUCAGGCUCCACGCAUGAUAAUGUCAGAAUUGAAUUGGAGGACCCUGAGCGGCUGUCUGCUGCAGAUUGAUUGCUUCUUUGUUGGGACACAUAGUUGCCAGCAAGAGCCCCUCCACACCCCCAACUGGGUUGCCUCCACCACUGUAGUGAAUGGCGGCUAGAACCUGCUCGCGCCCCGGCACCUGCUGGCGCUGUACCGCAGCAGCUGCUACAGGGAUGGAUCCCGCUCUUACCACACUUUGGCUGACAACAGGCUUCAGAGUAGUGAUCAGAGGUCUAGGAGCCCCUUGGCGCCCCCUAGUACAGCAGAUUUCUAACUCCAAGGAGCCAAAGAACAAUCUCGGGUCCCAAUACAAGGCCCGCAGAGUUAAGGUACAGCAGUGUAGCUAGCAGUCAGGAGCUGAGUGCAGGCACCCUAAAAAUCUUCCAGAAACGAAGCCAGUUAGCUGAAUCCACCUUAUACUACAAUCAAAUCCUCAAGCUCAUCAGAUAGGAUAAAAGGAAAAAAACCCAUCCAAAGCUCAGCAGCCCCGAAGAUUGAAGGUAGAUAAGAUGAGAAAGAAUCAGUACAAGAACCCUGGCGAUUCCGAACGCCUGAGUGCCCUUCUUCCAGACAACCACGUCACUCUUCCGGCAAAAGCUCUGAAGCAGGCUGAGAUGGCUGAAAUGACAGAACUAGAAUUCAGAAUAUGCUUAGAAAGGAAGAUCAGCGAACUAUAGGAGUGUGUUGAAACCCAAUGCAAGGAAG